rnacentral:rRNA from 1 species
UACGAAGGGGGCUAGCGUUGUUCGGAUUUACUGGGCGUAAAGCGCACGUAGGCGGAUUGUUAAGUCAGGGGUGAAAUCCCGGAGCUCAACUCCGGAACUGCCUUUGAUACUGGCAAGCUAGAGUCCGGAAGAGGUAAGUGGAACUCCUAGUGUAGAGGUGGAAUUCGUAGAUAUUAGGAAGAACACCAGUGGCGAAGGCGGCUUACUGGUCCGGAACUGACGCUGAGGUGCGAAAGCGUGGGGAGCGAACAGG